rnacentral:rRNA from 1 species
UACGAAGGGGGCUAGCGUUGCUCGGAAUCACUGGGCGUAAAGCGCACGUAGGCGGCUUUCUAAGUCAGGGGUGAAAUCCUGGAGCUCAACUCCAGAACUGCCUUUGAUACUGGAGAGCUUGAGUCCGGAAGAGGUGAGUGGAACUCCGAGUGUAGAGGUGAAAUUCGUAGAUAUUCGGAGGAACACCAGAAGCGAAGGCGGCCAACUGGCCCGAUACUGACGCUGAGGCGCGAAAGCCAGGGGAGCAAACGGG